UACGGAGGGCGCUAGCGUUGUUCGGAAAUACUGGGCGUAAAGCGCACGUAGGCGGCGCAGCAAGUCAGGGGUGAAAUCCCGGGGCUCAACCCCGGAACUGCCCUUGAAACUGCAGUGCUAGAAUUCUGGAGAGGCGAGUGGAAUUCCGAGUGUAGAGGUGAAAUUCGUAGAUAUUCGGAAGAACACCAGUGGCGAAGGCGACUCGCUGGACAGACAUUGACGCUGAGGUGCGAAAGCGUGGGGAGCAAACAGG
rnacentral:rRNA from 1 species